rnacentral:snRNA from 1 species
GGAUGUGAAGAGGAUCUGGCUGUGUGUAACUUCUGUCACCCUGUUGAUUGCCAGGGUGGAUCUGGCUGGGUAUGCAGGUGUCCCCUCCCUUGCUCCCUGUCCCAUGUGUGUCCCUCCUGAAGUUGCAAUGCUCAGUGGAAAAGGGCAACCUUCCCUGAAUAGGGAAAGACAAGAGGAUGGGUCUUUGGUCAAAGGUAGCUAUAAUGCCCUGCUAGAACACCCAAACAAGCUCUUAAGAAGCCUAGACAAGGAUAUACAACUGGUAAUUCCUGAUGGCCAUAG